UUUGCCUGUUAUCGCUCAAUGAAUUCAUAGUUGAGCUGAAGGUAGACGCGGGGAACUGAAACAUCUAAGUACCCGCAGGAAGAGAAAGAAAAUUCGAUUCCCUAAGUAGCGGCGAGCGAACGGGGAACAGCCCAAACCAGAGAGCUUGCUCUCUGGGGUUGUAGGACUGGACAUCUGAGUUACCAAGAAAUAACGUAGUCGAAUGAUAUGGGAAGAUCAGCCAGAGAAGGUAACAGCCCUGUAAACGAAACGUUGUUUCCUCAGUCCAGGAUCCUGAGUACGGCGGAACACGUGAAACUCCGUCGGAAUCCGGGAGGACCAUCUCCCAAGGCUAAAUACUCCCUAGUGACCGAUAGUGAACCAGUACCGUGAGGGAAAGGUGAAAAGCACCCCGGGAGGGGAGUGAAAGAGUACCUGAAACCAUGUGCCUACAAGUAGUCAGAGCCCGUUAACGGGUGAUGGCGUGCCUUUUGUAGAAUGAACCGGCGAGUUAUGCUAACGUGCGAGGUUAAGGCGGAAAGGCCGGAGCCGUAGCGAAAGCGAGUCUGAACAGGGCGAACGAGUACGUUGGUGUAAACCCGAAACCAGGUGACCUACCCAUGUCCAGGUUGAAGGUGCGGUAAAACGCACUGGAGGACCGAACCCGUGUAUGUUGAAAAAUGCUGGGAUGAGGUGUGGGUAGCGGUGAAAUUCCAAUCGAACUUGGAGAUAGCUGGUUCUCUCCGAAAUAGCUUUAGGGCUAGCCUCGGAGUUGAGAAUCGUGGAGGUAGAGCACUGUUUGGACUAGGGGCCCGUCUUGGGUUACUGAAUUCAGAUAAACUCCGAAUGCCACUGAUUUAUAUCCGGGAGUCAGACUGCGAGUGAUAAGAUCCGUAGUCGAAAGGGAAACAGCCCAGACCACCGAUUAAGGUCCCUAAAUAUGUGUUAAGUGGAAAAGGAUGUGGAAUUGCACAGACAACUAGGAUGUUGGCUCAGAAGCAGCCACCAUUUAAAGAGUGCGUAAUAGCUCACUAGUCGAGUGAUCCUGCGCCGAAAAUGUAACGGGGCUAAACACAUUACCGAAAUCGUGGAUGCAGCUUUGCUGCAUGGUAGGAGAGCGUUCUAAGGGCGGUGAAGCCGGACCGUAAGGACCGGUGGAGCGCUUAGAAGUGAGAAUGCCGGUAUGAGUAGCGAAAGACAGGUGAGAAUCCUGUCCACCGAAUGACUAAGGUUUCCUGGGGAAGGCUCGUCCUCCCAGGGUUAGUCGGGACCUAAGCUGAGGCCGAGAGGCGUAGGCGAUGGACAACGGGUUGAUAUUCCCGUACCGGUCUGAUUUGUUUGAGCAACGGAGGGACGCAGGAGGCUAACGAUGCGCACUAUCGGAUGUGCGUCCAAGCAGCAAGUCUGUCGGCGAGUCAAAUGCUUGCCGGCUCAAGGACAAGCUGUGACGGGUAUGAACGAUUCAUCGUUCUAAGUGAGCGACGUCACACUGCCAANUAAGCUGUGAUGGGGAUGAACGAUUUAUCGUUCUAAGUGAGCGACGUCACACUGCCAAGAAAAGCUUCUAGUUAGAAUCAGACCGCCCGUACCGCAAACCGACACAGGUAGUCGGGUCGAGAAGACCAAGGUGAGCGAGAGAACUCUCGUUAAGGAACUCGGCAAAAUGACCCCGUAACUUCGGGAGAAGGGGUGCUGAUCGCAAGAUCAGCCGCAGUGAAUAGGCCCAGGCGACUGUUUAUCAAAAACACAGGUUUCUGCAAAAUCGUAAGAUGAAGUAUAGGGGCUGACGCCUGCCCGGUGCUGGAAGGUUAAGAGGAUGGGUUAGCGCAAGCGAAGCUCAGAAUUGAAGCCCCAGUAAACGGCGGCCGUAACUAUAACGGUCCUAAGGUAGCGAAAUUCCUUGUCGGGUAAGUUCCGACCCGCACGAAAGGCGUAACGAUCUGGGCACUGUCUCAACGAGAGACUCGGUGAAAUUAUAAUACCCGUGAAGAUGCGGGUUACCCGCGACAGGACGGAAAGACCCCAUGGAGCUUUACUGUAGCUUGAUAUUGGGUGUUUGUACAACUUGUACAGGAUAGGUAGGAGCCGUAGAAGUCGGGACGCUAGUUUCGACGGAGGCAUCGGUGGGAUACUACCCUCGUUGUAUGAACACUCUAACCCACGCCGGCAAUCACGGCGGGAGACAGUGUCAGGUGGGCAGUUUGACUGGGGCGGUCGCCUCCUAAAAGGUAACGGAGGCGCCCAAAGGUUCCCUCAGAAUGGUUGGAAAUCAUUCGCAGAGUGUAAAGGCAUAAGGGAGCUUGACUGCGAGACCUACAAGUCGAGCAGGGACGAAAGUCGGGCUUAGUGAUCCGGUGGUUCCGCAUGGAAGGGCCAUCGCUCAACGGAUAAAAGCUACCCUGGGGAUAACAGGCUUAUCUCCCCCAAGAGUCCACAUCGACGGGGAGGUUUGGCACCUCGAUGUCGGCUCAUCGCAUCCUGGGGCUGUAGUCGGUCCCAAGGGUUGGGCUGUUCGCCCAUUAAAGCGGUACGCGAGCUGGGUUCAGAACGUCGUGAGACAGUUCGGUCCCUAUCCGUCGCGGGCGCAGGAAAUUUGAGAGGAUCUGUCCUUAGUACGAGAGGACCGGGAUGGACAUACCGCUGGUGUACCAGUUGUUCUGCCAAGGGCAUCGCUGGGUAGCUAUGUAUGGAUGAGAUAAACGCUGAAAGCAUCUAAGUGCGAAACUCACCUCGAGAUAAGAUUUCCCACUCCUUUAUGGAGUUAAGACCCCUGAGAGAUGAUCAGGUAGAUAGGAUGGAAGUGGAAGUGCGGCGACGCAUGGAGCGGACCAUUACUAAUCGGUCGAGGACUUAACCAA
rnacentral:rRNA from 1 species